CAAAAUUUCUCUACAAAGACCCCCUCCAUACCACCUUCGGAUCCCCUCCCACACACCCCAAAAAUUAAGCAAAUUUGGAGAGUUAGAGAGCUUGUUGUUCUAGGAGCAAGAAUUCAAGGCAGUAACUACUUCAAGAGGUUGAACGUGAUCGAGGAGGUGAAGGUGUUGGGAGAUGAUAUUAAUAAGUAGCAAUAGGUAGCCCAAAGUAGUGUGCCUUCACACAUGCUACUUUGUCUUGGUCUCUUCUGGUGCAUUAGGAACUUUUUACUAGGAACUUAUGAACCUAGAUAACUCACUCAGAUUUUUAUUUUGACCUUGUAUCACUUUCGCAUCUGGAACAAUUGUUUGAGCUUGACUUA